CUAGGGGAGACUCUUAAGAGAAAAGGUGCUAUAGGAACUGGAAAAGUUGUCUAGUGUGUAAUACGUCAAACCGACUAAGAGCAUGGGCACAACAGCUGACUUUCAAAGCUGAAACUAAAUAAGCAGAUGUUGAUUCAGAUCCAAAGCACCUCCUUGCCCUCCAACAAGAGUUGCUUCCACUAUAACACACCUGCUCAAAGAGGAGGAACCCACUAAAUUCACUUUAUGAAGUCUGGUUUCCGAUAAUAAACCGUAGGUGCAAAGGUAGCUGAAGUAGUGUCACUGGGACUUCUAGUGUGACAGCUCACAAGGCUCCUUGGUGGCUAUUGAUUGCUGUGCAGGAGGAGCAGCAAUUCACCUUUGACAGAGAAAACUGGGAUGUGCUUAAUAGGGGAAAGUUUUGAUAAAGCCUUUUGAGGUUGUACUUUUCUGACAUCAAGGAUUUGUGCCACUGGCAUAUUAAUAAAGUUGUUAUGGUCCCAA